UUAUGGCCAUAUCAUAUUGAAACAUUGGUUCCCAUAUGGUCACUGAAGUUAAGCAAUGUAGAGCCUGGUUGGUACUUAGAUGGGUGACCAUUUGGGAAUGGCAGGUGAUGUAAG